UCAGAUUCUCAGGCGACCCUUCUUCAACCUCUCGACGACGCCGAGGAGACUCCUUCUCCGCCUCUAUUGAGCUUCCCGAGCUUUACAGUACUCAAUUGCAUCUGCUCGUGAUAUAAAAACCAAUGGCGUUAGUUGUGAUUUGUGGGCAACCAUGCAGUGGCAAAUCAAUAGCUGCAAUAACUUUAGCUGAAUCACUAAAAGAAUCUGAUACGAAGCAGAGUGUUAGAAUCAUCGAUGAGGCUUCGCUUCAUCUAGACCGCAACCAGAACUAUGCCAACAUGCCUUCAGAGAAGAAUCUGAGAGGGAAGCUCAGGUCUGAUGUUGAUAGAUCAGUUUCGAGGGGAGACAUUGUUAUUGUAGAUUCAUUAAAUAGCAUCAAAGGUUAUAGAUACGAGCUGUGGUGUAUUGCACGUGCCGCUGGGAUUAGGUACUGUGUUGUCUACUGUGAUGUGGAUGAAGCUGGUUGCAGGGAGUGGAAUAAGGAACGGAGUAAUAGAGGGGAGGCUUCGUAUGUGGAUGGUGUGUUUGAAGAUCUUGUGAGGAGGUUUGAGAGACCUGAGAGGAGAAACCGGUGGGAUUCGCCUCUCUUUGAGUUGUAUCCUUCUCGAGAUGGGAUAGAGAAAUCCUCUCUUGUGAUUUUAGAGGCUGUGACUUAUCUGACCAAGACUGUUGAUUCUAAAACUCAAGUUGUGAGAGUUCUUCAGCCAAGUAUAGCGACUCAGUCUGCUAGAUUCUCAGAAGCGAAUUCUCUUUAUGAGCUGGAUAGGGCGACACAAGAAGUCAUCAAUGCGGUUGUGGAGCAGCAAGGGCUUGGUGGGGCUAUAAGCAGGGUUACUCUUGGCAAUGAGCUACCUCCGAUUGAAAUCUGCAGACCGGUUGGAUUGCCGGAGCUAAGGAGGCUUCGAAGAACGUUUGUUAAAUUGAUGGGUCAAGCUAGUCUGAGCGGGCCACCGUUACCAACUGGCGCAGACAGUGCCAAGAGGCGGUUUGUGGAUUACUUGAACGGAGAGUUUGGAGGGCAAUAACGAUUGAAAAUUGUGGUUACAGUUUGGGUUUAUCGUUUUGUCCAGCACAAGUAAAGUGUACACUUUGUGAUCUUUAAUGUUUGCUUAGUGAUAAAGUUAGCUAAAAAAUUAUCUCAUGCCAGUUCUUUCAACCGUGUGAAUGAACUUUCUCACACUUCUUAGCUCAGAAGUGUUGUUUAUAGA